rnacentral:rRNA from 1 species
UACGUAGGGGGCAAGCGUUGUCCGGAAUUAUUGGGCGUAAAGAGCGUGUAGGCGGCCAGAUAAGUCCGCUGUGAAAUCUCGAGGCUCAACUUCGAGCUGUCGGUGGAAACUAUCUGGCUAGAGUCCGGAAGAGGAGAGUGGAAUUCCUGGUGUAGCGGUGAAAUGCGCAGAUAUCGGGAAGAACACCCGUGGCGAAGGCGGCACUCUGGGCCGGUACUGACGCUGAGGAGCGAAAGCGUGGGGAGCGAACAGG